rnacentral:rRNA from 1 species
AUGAACGCUAGCUACAGGCUUAACACAUGCAAGUCGAGGGGCAGCAUGAACUUAGCUUGCUAAGUUUGAUGGCGACCGGCGCACGGGUGAGUAACACGUAUCCAACCUGCCGAUGACUCGGGGAUAGCCUUUCGAAAGAAAGAUUAAUACCCGAUGGCAUAGUUCUUCCGCAUGGUAGAACUAUUAAAGAAUUUCGGUCAUCGAUGGGGAUGCGUCCCAUUAGGUUGUUGGCGGGGUAACGGCCCACCAAGCCUUCGAUGGAUAGGGGUUCUGAGAGGAAGGUCCCCCACAUUGGAACUGAGACACGGUCCAAACUCCUACGGGAGGCAGCAGUGAGGAAUAUUGGUCAAUGGACGAGAGUCUGAACCAGCCAAGUAGCGUGAAGGAUGACUGCCCUAUGGGUUGUAAACUUCUUUUAUACGGGAAUAAAGUGAGGCACGUGUGCCUUUUUGUAUGUACCGUAUGAAUAAGGAUCGGCUAACUCCGUGCCAGCAGCCGCGGUAAUACGGAGGAUCCGAGCGUUAUCCGGAUUUAUUGGGUUUAAAGGGAGCGUAGGCGGACGCUUAAGUCAGUUGUGAAAGUUUGCGGCUCAACCGUAAAAUUGCAGUUGAUACUGGGUGUCUUGAGUACAGUAGAGGCAGGCGGAAUUCGUGGUGUAGCGGUGAAAUGCUUAGAUAUCACGAAGAACUCCGAUUGCGAAGGCAGCUUGCUGGACUGUAACUGACGCUGAUGCUCGAAAGUGUGGGUAUCAAACAGGAUUAGAUACCCUGGUAGUCCACACAGUAAACGAUGAAUACUCGCUGUUUGCGAUAUACAGUAAGCGGCCAAGCGAAAGCGUUAAGUAUUCCACCUGGGGAGUACGCCGGCAACGGUGAAACUCAAAGGAAUUGACGGGGGCCCGCACAAGCGGUGGAGCAUGUGGUUUAAUUCGAAGCAACGCGAAGAACCUUACCAGGUCUUGACAUCCUCUGACAACCCUAGAGAUAGGGCUUCUCCUUCGGGAGCAGAGUGACAGGUGGUGCAUGGUUGUCGUCAGCUCGUGCCGUGAGGUGUCGGCUUAAGUGCCAUAACGAGCGCAACCCUUAUCGAUAGUUACCAUCAGGUUAUGCUGGGGACUCUGUCGAGACUGCCGUCGUAAGAUGUGAGGAAGGUGGGGAUGACGUCAAAUCAGCACGGCCCUUACGUCCGGGGCUACACACGUGUUACAAUGGGGGGUACAGAAGGCAGCUACACGGCGACGUGAUGCUAAUCCCUAAAGCCUCUCUCAGUUCGGAUUGGAGUCUGCAACCCGACUCCAUGAAGCUGGAUUCGCUAGUAAUCGCGCAUCAGCCACGGCGCGGUGAAUACGUUCCCGGGCCUUGUACACACCGCCCGUCAAGCCAUGAAAGCCGGGGGUACCUGAAGUGCGUAACCGCAAGGAGCGCCCUAGGGUAAAACUGGUGAUUGGGGCU